CAGUCGCCGCGGUAAUACGAAGGGUGCAAGCGUUACUCGGAAUUACUGGGCGUAAAGCGUGCGUAGGUGGUGGUUUAAGUCCGUUGUGAAAGCCCUGGGCUCAACCUGGGAAUUGCAGUGGAUACUGGGUCACUAGAGUGUGGUAGAGGAUAGUGGAAUUUCCGGUGUAGCAGUGAAAUGCGUAGAGAUCGGAAGGAACAUCUGUGGCGAAGGCGGCCAUCUGGGACAACACUGACGCUGAGGCACGAAAGCGUGGGGAGCAAACAGGAUUAGAUACCCCUGUAGUCCCUGUCUCUUAUAA
rnacentral:rRNA from 1 species